rnacentral:misc_RNA from 1 species
CAUUGCAAGAAGUCGAGGAUCAUGAAAGUCGACCUGAGUGCCACCCACUGUCCAACCUCUGAUGUCAAUGGAUGUAUCUUCAGAUUGAGGAGACGCGGGCCGAGCAGUAUAGCCAGGAUGAUAAAGCUGAUGGCAAAUCUCGCAAGUUAUAUCUCCCUUCUCAUCACACCAUUGUUGAACACAUUUUCUGUGUGCAUACUUCAAGCUGCCACUGCAACCACAAGGAAUCUCCAAAUUUUUCAAGCUAUCUUCUUCCUGACAAAUCCGACAUUCCACAGUCUGAAG